CAGAGCAGGGAGGGCCUUGCCAGCUGUGCUUAAGAGCGGGGCCUUUAGGCUGAGGUCAAAGGGGAACCUUCCAGGGUAUAGAGCAGGGGAUCCAUGCUCUGCCUUGCCCUUCGGGCAGAUCACUUCUGCCUCAGAAGGGAAGGCUCACCAGAAGCCAAGGGCCAAGGGUGCAGGUAAGAAAGGAAGACGAUGAGGAAAGGGAGACAACACGGUGUCUAGAGACAUCCUCCCGAGUUCCAGCAACAGACACUCAUGGCGCCCACUCUAUGCCGGGCCUGUACUGGGCACUACGGGAUACAGUCAACAUCGAGGGGUCCUCCCAUGGAGAGCUGCUCCUGGAGGAGACAGACCCAUCCCCCCGAAGGAGGUGUUAUCACCCACUCCACAGCCGAGGCAAGCCAGGGUGCGAGUGGCCUCCCAAAGGCCAAGUCAUGGAUCCCAUCGGAACUCGAACUCAGACACAGUGUUCUUUCCUCUGGACCUUCCUAAUAGUUUUUGGUGAAUGUGAAGUGUUGGAGAUGUAAGGGAUUGCCUAGUUCAGGAGAAGAAGCCAGAGAAGUAAAAGCUUCAGCCUACCAAUGUCCAUUGGGUACCCACUGUGCCCCAGGACCUUGGCUCGUGCCAGGUGCUGGGGACUGGAGAUGAAGGUGAAUCUGCUCUUGACCUCUAGGAACUCGCGGUCUAAUCAGAGCGAUACGGAAUUAAGAAGAUUAGCCCUGAGCUAACAUCUGCUGCCAAUCCUCCUCUUUUUGCUGAGGAAGACUGGCCCUAAGCUAACAUCCGUGCCCAUCUUCCUCUACUUUAUAUGUGGGACGCCUGCCACAGCAUGGCUUGACCGGUGGUGCCAUGUCUGCAGAACUCACACAGUUGGAGUCAACCCUCCGCAGGCUGCAGAGAGAUUCCAGACCUGAAUUACCCACCCAUCUUUCUUUUGUGUUUUUCUUUAACAUUUUCUGAAAGGGCAGCUCCAGGAACCUGAAUAUUCACUUUUGUUGCAUCCAGCAUAAUAGCCUUCCUUUGAGUAUUCACAACAAGUCCAAACAAACCUUCAGCCGCACAGGUUUUAUCAGCCGAGUCAGAACUGCCAACCGAAGGGGGAGAUAAAUAGCAAAAGGAACAGCCACGUGGAGUAAACGGCACCACACAUGGCAGGGAACACGUUCAGCGGGCAGAGCCCGGGAGCGCCCGGCCCGUGACCAGGAGCGUGGGCAGCGUGGAGCAUCAGGAGGCCGGAAGAAUCAGAGAGCAGGCUGGAGGAGCAGGG
rnacentral:lncRNA from 1 species